GGGAAAGUAGCUUUAGCGGCAAGAGCAGGCGACUGUUAAUCGCAAGGUCGAGGGUUCGAGUCCCUCCUUUCCCG